rnacentral:rRNA from 1 species
AUACGGAGGGUGCAAGCGUUGUUCGGAAUCACUGGGCGUAAAGGGCGCGCAGGCGGUUUGGUAAGUUAGAUGUGAAAGCCCACGGCUCAACCGUGGAAGUGCAUUUGAAACUGUCAGACUUGAGUACUAGAGGGGAAAGUGGAAUUCCCGGUGUAGAGGUGAAAUUCGUAGAUAUCGGGAGGAAUACCGGUGGCGAAGGCGACUUUCUGGCUAGAUACUGACGCUGAGGCGCGAAAGCGUGGGGAGCAAACAGGAUUAGAAACCCUAGUAGUCC